UCUACGCUUUGGGGAGACUUCAUUAACCCAAUGUCCCUCCCAUUCCCUAAUGAGCCUCAGAUGCCAUUAACUGCUCCUUUCACCCCCUCACCACGAGGCACAGGGUCGGGGACACAGGAACAGCCCAGGCCAGCAUCCCCAGGGCCUUGCCCGGGGAUUUCCCGGCGGGAGAAGCCGCCCGGGGACAUUCCUGGCUCGGCCGAGCCUCCCUCGGGCAGGGUUUGUUUCCCCGGGAGCCCUGGAGACGAUCCCGACUCAGCAGCUCCCGAGCCAUGGAGCGGGGAGCGGCCGGGGGGGACCCCCGCGGGCUCUGGGGGGACCCCCGGGCAGGGACCCUCCUUGUCCCACGCGGGCCCCGCGCCGUGGGGUCGCCCCCCGGAGCCGUGCCGGUGUCCCGGCCGCCGGUGCUGAUCCUGCAGCAGCUGCCCGGGCCCGGGGCCGCCCCCGCGGGACCCCCGCCCGUCCGGGGAGAUUUGAUGGAGCUGAUGCUGAUUCAAACCUCCCAAAUGCACCAGCUGUUGAUGCACGGCCUGGCCAUGGCAGCUCUGAUGCCCCUCGGUGCGGGGCCAGCCCCAGCCCCCGCCCAGGGCCCAGCUCUGACAGCUCAGACAGCAGCCAGGCUUUGGGCAGAGGUUCAGCCCAGCUGCGAGGAGCCAGGACCCUCUGGAAGUGCUGCCCAACCCGGCAGGAGCUCGCCAGGGGCUGCCAUUUAAAAACCCAUCUCGAACCAAAAGAUUUCAUCCCCUGGGGGGGAACAAUGCAGCUUUUGGGGCAGGGCUGGGCUGUGGCAGCUGCUGAGCUCGCUGCCAGCUGGCUCCUCCUGGCAGCCACCCCCUGCCCUCCCAGUGCCACCAGCGCAGGGCCGCCCGGGACUGGACCCUGCCUGCUCAAACGGCUCUCAGGCAGAUCAGAGGGCUCUUCCCACGGGGUUUUGGUCCCAUCGGUGGGGCUGCCACCCCCCGUGUCCCCGGGGCUUUGUGUGGGACCGAGCCCACCCAGUGCGAGCAGCCGGGCGCGAUCCCUGGCCAGCGGCGCUUCGGGAGCCCCGGAGCCCGGCCCGGCCCCAGCCCUGCCAGUCCAACCCCGCAGGCGCUGGCGGAGCCUUCGCAGGGCGAGGAGGAAGAGGAGGCCGUGGUUUUCCACCAUCACUACAUCCCUUGGCCCGCGCCCGGCCCGGCCCCCGUGCGGUUCCUGCGCUCCUCACCCGGGGACGGACGAGCUGUGCCCCCUCCGCCGC